GGGCACUUGGCACAGUGGUAGCGCGCACGCUUCGCAUGAUCCGGGGGAUUCAACCCCCAAGUCAAGUGACUGCGUGAGGUCGGGAGUUCAAUCCUCCCAGUGUCCA